UACGUAGGCGGCAAGCGUUGUCCGGAAUUAUUGGGCGUAAAGCGCGCGCAGGCGGUCUUCCAAGUCAGUGGUGAAAGCCCGGAGCUCAACUCCGGAACUGCCAUUGAAACUGUAAGACUUGAGGAUGAGAGAGGUGAGCGGAAUUCCCAGUGUAGAGGUGAAAUUCGUAGAUAUUGGGAAGAACACCGGUGGCGAAGGCGGCUCACUGGCUCGUUACUGACGCUCAGGCGCGACAGCGUGGGGAGCAAACAGG
rnacentral:rRNA from 1 species